UAAAUAUAUUAUUAUUGUUUAUAUAUAUAUAUAUAUGUGUGAAAACAAUGAGUUAUAUCACCAUGCCUCUUGUGUAAACUCAGAAAUUUUGUGGAUCUCCGAGGGGUAGUGGAUCUCGACAGGGGCGAUAUGAGAUCACAUGCGGGCGAUUGUAUGGUAAGAUGAAAAUGCAGAAUCCUAGAUCGACGGUUCUGGUGUUGCCACGUCAUCGGUACUGGCCCGUCAUGUGUUCUCAGGUCACCCCUGCUGAGCUCCAUCUACCGUCCGAUCCCUCGAAUCUGUGUGUUUCCCGUUAGAUCGUUAAAAGGCUGUUUGUUUCCCGAGAUGGAAAACAAAAGGGGUUAUGUUACAGUGAUCUUGUCAAUGGAGUCUGCUCAUCCUUCUUUGGACAAGAAACGGAGUCGGAUGGCAAAGAAGACAAGCACGUGGAGACGACAAGGUGUCACGUGGGAAGGAGAGAACUGAUUAGGAAGUCGAGAUGGGCCUCGUAAGAAGGUCAAAGUGCAAAAACAUAACGGGCCCAUUUCAAGCUUAUGGGCCCAUCUUACUUGAAUGGACCAAAAACAUAACGGGCCCAAUUUCAAGCUUACUGUACAUUAAAAAAGCAUUUAACUUAACCCAAUCUCUACCUUUUGUAUCUUGUGAGAGACAUUCAUUUUAUCUUGUGAGAAAACAUAAUUCGUCAUUCAAUAGUUCAAAGAUUU